GAGGGUAUAGCUCAGUGGUAGAGUGCGUGCUUAGCAUGCACGAAGUCCUGGGUUCAAUCCCCAGUACCUCCA
rnacentral:tRNA from 1 species